UACGUAGGGUGCAAGCGUUGUCCGGAAUUAUUGGGCGUAAAGAGCUUGUAGGCGGUUUGUCGCGUCUGCUGUGAAAUUUCGGGGCUCAACCCCGAACUUGCAGUGGGUACGGGCAGACUAGAGUGUGGUAGGGGAGACUGGAAUUCCUGGUGUAGCGGUGAAAUGCGCAGAUAUCAGGAGGAACACCCGUGGCGAAAGCGGCUCUCUGGGACGGUACUGACGCUGAGACGCGAAAGCGUGGGGAGCAAACAGG
rnacentral:rRNA from 1 species